GACGGUACUUGAGGAAUAAGCCACGGCUAAUUCCGUGCCAGCAGCCGCGGUAAUACGGGAGUGGCAAGCGUUAUCCGGAAUUAUUGGGCGUAAAGCGUCCGCAGGCGGCCUUGUAAGUCUGUCGUUAAAGCGUGGAGCUCAACUCCAUUUCAGCGAUGGAAACUACAAGGCUUGAGUGUGGUAGGGGCAGAGGGAAUUCCCGGUGUAGCGGUGAAAUGCGUAGAUAUCGGGAAGAACACCAGUGGCGAAGGCGCUCUGCUGGGCCAUAACUGACGCUCAUGGACGAAAGCCAGGGGAGCGAAAGGGAUUAGAUACCCCUGUAGUCCUGGCCGUAAACGAUGAACACUAGGUGUCGGGGGAAUCGACCCCCUCGGUGUCGUAGCCAACGCGUUAAGUGCUCCGCCUGGGGAGUACGCACGCAAGUGUGAAACUCAAAGGAAUUGACGGGGGCGCACAAGCGGUGGAGUAUGUGGUUUAAUUCGAUGCAACGCGAAGAACCUUACCAGGGUUUGACAUCCUGCGAAUCCCUUGGAAACGAGGGAGUGCCUUCGGGAGCGCAGAGACAGGUGGUGCAUGGCUGUCGUCAGCUCGUGUCGUGAGAUGUUGGGUUAAGUCCCGCAACGAGCGCAACCCACGUCUUUAGUUGCCAGCAUUCAGUUGGGCACUCUAGAGAGACCGCCGGUGAUAAACCGGAGGAAGGUGUGGAUGACGUCAAGUCAUCAUGCCCCUUACAUCCUGGGCUACACACGUACUACAAUGCUACGGACAAAGGGCAGCAAGCUCGCGAGAGUAAGCAAAUCCCAUAAACCGUGGCUCAGUUCAGAUCGUAGGCUGCAACUCGCCUACGUGAAGGAGGAAUCGCUAGUAAUCGCAGGUCAGCAUACUGCGGUGAAUACGUUCCCGGGCCUUGUACACACCGCCCGUCACACCAUGGAAGUUGGCCAUGCCCGAAGUCGUUACUCCAACCCUUGUGGAGGAGGACGC
rnacentral:rRNA from 1 species